UACGUAGGGUGCAAGCGUUGUCCGGAAUUAUUGGGCGUAAAGAGCUCGUAGGCGGUCUGUCGCGUCGGCUGUGAAAACCUGGGGCUCAACUCCGGGCUUGCAGCCGAUACGGGCAGACUAGAAUUCGGUAGGGGAGACUGGAAUUCCUGGUGUAGCGGUGAAAUGCGCAGAUAUCAGGAGGAACACCGGUGGCGAAGGCGGGUCUCUGGGCCGAUAUUGACGCUGAGGAGCGAAAGCGUGGGGAGCGAACAGGAUUAGAUACCCUGGUAGUCCACGCCGUAAACGUUGGGCGCUAGGUGUGGGCUCCAUUCCACGGAGUCUGUGCCGCAGCUAACGCAUUAAGCGCCCCGCCUGGGGAGUACGGCCGCAAGGCUAAAACUCAAAG
rnacentral:rRNA from 1 species